GGGGAAGCCGAAAUGAACUGUAAAAUUAUUCAUUCAAUAGCUUGUGACGCUGUAUAUUGUUAUUGAGCUGCAGAGUUCAUCUCAUCUGACAGAUCUUUUCCCACAUGAAUCCAAUUGGUAAAUGCCCACAAUUUUUGAACGAAAUUUUGAAAAUGCUUGCCACCUGUUUCAAGCCUACUCAGUUUUUAACACCAUGCAGUAUGUAAGAUUUAAGACCCUUAUGUAAUUUUUUUUUUUAACGCAAUUGCAUGGGACACUUCAAAAAUGCAUGGAAACAGCAUGUUGAAAAUACGCCCAUUCACACCAGGAUGUGGUUACUUCCCUACAAUUUCAGAGUCAUUCAUUGCUUGCAUGUGAUUUACCUUACCUCCAGAGAUCAAACAAAUGUGACGAUGGGAUCAACCAUCCAAGCAUCAUAAGCUGGCCUCUCCAUCUGGAAAUGCCCUACUCCUUAAAGUAGAUGGGUUUCAGCUCGGCAAGCUCUAGAUUCCAGCUUAUGUUGCAACUGCUUUACAGUCGUGAACGCAGUUUUUGUGGCCAUGUUGAAAAGCUUAGGUUUCUUGGACCAUAGGAUUGCUUCAUGAUGCCUCCCGGAAAGGAUGGAUGCUGAACCCGCAAGCGAUGCUCCUGUUCAAGGGAUCAGAGGGUAGAAGCAUAUAAUACCCUUGGACACAAAAAAACAACAACAAAAAAAAAAAGGAUGCUAGAAGCAGAAGCCUUAUGUUAAUCACAAGUUCUACAUGGCAUAUUCAGCUCAACAUUUGAAGUUUCAGCUAGAACCGAUCCGAAACUGAUGGAAAUUUUUCAACCAGUUUUGGUGCAAACUGAUCGAAAUUGUUAUUUUUUACUUUUUUUUUGUUUCACAAGUAAAUAUGUAUAAUGCUUUCUAAAAUUCGUCAAUAUAAUUUAGCCACACAUACUCAAGACUCCAAUGAACUAAUCCAUAUUAUUUUUGUCAAAACUUUGUUAUUGAAAUAGGUAAGAUGCAAUCUUAAUGCAUGUUUUUAAGUUAUAAACAACAUUGCAAUGUGUGAAAGUGAAGAUAAUUGUAAGUAUCUAGAAAAUUUGAUGUUAUUUUGAAAGGUGCAAUAUGCAAUUAAUUUUAUAAUAUUUGUCUUAUUGGCUUAUGAAUGACUGAGUGAUAUUUGAUAUUUUACUCAAUAUAAUAGCAUAUUCUUGUGAUAUGAUUAAUGCAUUAAGCUUCAACAAAAUUCAAUUUCACUCAAGAGAAUGCAAAUAACAUAUAUUAUUGACUAAACUGACAAAAAGCUCCCUAAUGAAAGGAAAUCUAGCAAAAUAUAGCAUCAGGAAUCUUCUGCAAUAAGUACUGAAUUAGGUCCAAACUUAAACACUUAGAUAAAAAGCUGAAGGUCUUUUGCUCUUACAUAGAACAUUAACAGUGAAAAUAUCAGCUCAAUUGUCUAUAAUGCAAUCAAGUUUGCUUUAUCUCCAUUUUUUCCAUUUCAUAUCUGUCUUUUAUAGCAUCUAGUAAAAUAUGAUAACAGAAACUUGACAAGCACUUGCUCCUAUUUCUUGGGACUAGACCCCUUCUCCUAAUGCCUAUAUGUUUAAUCCAUAAAGCUAAUUUAACAAGUUGCAUGUCUCUCCAUUCAAAUAAAAAAAGAGAGAGUUGCAUGUCUGAGCAACCAAUUGCAUGACUGACAUCAGAGGAAUAGCUUGGUGCAAGCAUGCAACCUAUUCGCCGUUUAGACCAAGCCUCUAAAACUGGACACAAUAAGUAAACAAAGCCAUGGUGCUCCCCUCAUGUAGAACACUAUUUGGCAUAAAAGACAGUUCACAUGCUCUCCACCACUUAGAUCUUCCAAUAACAUUCAUCCAAACACACAAUCCUGUAAGGAAUACUACUAUCUUAAGCCACAACAGAAAACAAUCAUCAAAUGUGGAAACACAAACAUAAAUUACUCGACACAGAAGUAUAGAACGCUUGAUCUGAUACGGAACUACACAACCUAAAGUGAAAGCAUAGCACAUAUUCUUUUCGGCCAAGACUUGACUUCAGUAUCACAACCAGUUACAUUAUGUCUUCUAGAGCCAAUUUCUUCUAAAUCCAUCAUAAAACCCAACCUCAAAACCACUGAAAAUCCCAUCUCAUCAAGCAAUAAGUCACUCUCUCAAAC
rnacentral:lncRNA from 1 species